rnacentral:tRNA from 1 species
UGAGGCGUAGCCAAGCGGUAAGGCACCGGGUUUUGGUCUCGGCAUUUCCCAGGUUCGAAUCCUGGCGCCUCAG